rnacentral:pre_miRNA from 1 species
AAAUCUGCAAUAGGGCAUCUCUCUCCUGGCAAGUAGACAUAUUUUGAACUACCUAUAGAGCUCAUCAUUGGAAAUAACUUGCCAAAGGAGAGUUGCCCUGUCGCGGCUUU